rnacentral:rRNA from 1 species
CAGUAGCCGCGGGAAUACGAAGGGUGCAAGCGUUAAUCGGAAUUACUGGGCGUAAAGCGUGCGCAGGCGGUUGUGUAAGACAGGUGUGAAAUCCCCGGGCUUAACCUGGGAACUGCGCUUGUGACUGCACAGCUAGAGUAUGGCAGAGGGGGGUGGAAUUCCACGUGUAGCAGUGAAAUGCGUAGAGAUGUGGAGGAACACCGAUGGCGAAGGCAGCCCCCUGGGCCAACACUGACGCUCAUGCACGAAAGCGUGGGGAGCAAACAGGAUUAGAUACCCCUGUAGUCCCUGUCUCUUAUAA